GGUUAUAUGGUGUAAAGGUUAGCACUCUGGACUCUGAAUCCAGUGAUCUGAGUUCAAAUUUUAGUAGAACCU
rnacentral:tRNA from 1 species